GACGAACGCUGGCGGCGUGCCUAAUACAUGCAAGUCGAGCGGACCGAACAGGAGCUUGCUCUUGUUCGGUUAGCGGCGGACGGGUGAGUAACACGUGGGUAACCUGCCCGUAAGACCGGGAUAACUCCGGGAAACCGGAGCUAAUACCGGAUAACACCGAAGACCGCAUGGUCUUUGGGUGAAAGGCGGCUUCGGCUGCCACUUACGGAUGGGCCCGCGGCGCAUUAGCUAGUUGGUGAGGUAACGGCUCACCAAGGCGACGUUGCGUAGCCGGCCUGAGAGGGUGAUCGGCCACACUGGAACUGAGACACGGCCCAGACUCCUACGGAGGCAGCAGGAGGGGAUCUUCCGCCAUGGACGGAAGGCUGACGGAGCGACGCCGCGGGAGGGAAGAAGGGCUUCGGAUCGUAAAGAUCUGUUGUUAGGGAAGAAGAAGCGUCGUACGAACAGGGCGGCGCGGUGACGGUACCUAACGAGAAAGCCCCGGCUAACUACGUG
rnacentral:rRNA from 1 species